GCUUUCGAAAUUAGGACAAGGGAUGCAUGAAAUCAGGCUGAGCACUACAGGUCACUCCCCCCCCGCAUCAAACUACUGACUUUAUUUUACAGCCCUAAUACUAAACUGUUGCCUGUGGGAAAUGCAGGUGUGGCUGUUAACAAGCUUCUCCUUGUGAUUCUGGCAAUAAUGAAAACUACCUGUACUUCAAAAUCUGCCAUUACAGCUGGUUGCCAUCAAGAGAAGAGAAAGUGGCAGGAGAAGGACUGAGGGCACAGAAGAAAGAAUCAAAAGAAAAAAAAUCCUGUUAGGGGCGAGAGGAAAAUACAUCCUCUUCCCAACUAGCCUCAUCAUGGGAUUGGAUGAAGAAAGAGGACACUGUAAGACAUACCAGCAUUCUUCUAUGGAUUUCUGGAGCUUCUCUACAGAAUAUGAAAGACCAUGCCCUUCAUCCUGAAAGACUGGAGAUCCUGAAAACAAUUAUGUGAAUCUGUCCCACCAAAAUCAAUAAAACAUAUACAUAUAUAACUGGAUACAGAACUGAUGCUAUUCUAUAACAAUUGUAGAGAUGAUUUGUGUUACGAAACAGCAAUUACUCCCACAUCAAUACUGGUUAUUGAAUUUUUCUGUAUGUAGAUAAAAUAUGCUUUGGAUAGACAACUAUCACAUCAAAUUUCAUAAUGUGGCUGUACCCACUGCAUAAGCAUGCACUAAACUGAAUGAGCUGAUGAUAAGUAUUUGCAGCAGACUGUUUAUUCAGAGGCUUAACAUUUAUAUAACUUUUAAAGCAAAUCUAACCAGUACUAAAAAUGGUAAAGGAUUAGUGAAAGACCUUAGCUCAGUGUCAGCACACAUACUUUCCAUGUAGAUGGUCCCAAUGUGCUAUCCUGUCUACCAGUAUGAGAAUGGAUGGUAAAAUUAUGGAUCUCUCCCAGUUCAUAUUGAUAAAUAGCCAGCCUCAAGGACAUGGAGAAUAACCUCGUUUAUGAAGAUUCCACCUGCUGAGCAGCUUGGACUUUUAUUUAAAGCAUAGCAAGAAAUCUCUUACUACCCUUAGUUUCAGCAGAGAUAUUUAUAGCUCUCACUGUGCAACCUCACUGGCAACACUGAGUCCUCCUAGGUAGUCGAGUGCACCUCCUGGAGUGCUUAAAUCCCCAUUGUAGUCAGUGUUAUUUAAUGCUAGAAUAGCUGAGUUGAAUAUUCUAAUUGCCAGUAGAGCUUUAAAUAAUGAGCUGGAAAGCUUGGCACUGAAAAUCCAAGACAGGCCACAACAUGGUCUUUGACUGUGUUCCAGCUGCUCUCAGUAAAUCUCCUUUCAUUUAUAAUUUACUGUUUUAUAGGUCUUUGCACCAACUAAGAGGGUAAAGUAUCGACAUUAACUUUAACUGGAGAAAGAUCACCAAUUCAUUCAAGACAUAGUAGGUCACUAAUCACUAUUCGUGCCUUUCAUCACCAAGGUACACAGUACCCUCCUGUGCUGGCAUAUGACUAAGAAUGCUGAUUUUCUAAUUGAAUUUUAGCUUGUUUCUUUGGUUAAAAGGAUGGCACAUGAUCCCAACUAUAAACGAUACUGGUUUAAUCAAUUAUUUUGUUUUUGAACACCAUCCACACCAACAAACUGUGACAAAAUUCAUUGCAUUCAAGUUACAGUAUUUGGAAUACAAUUCAAAUAGAAGUUGAGUGUUUCAUGAUCCAAUGCUUUGAAACAUGCCAUAACUUGUAGCACAUACAGACCUCCUUUGCCAAGAGAGAUUUCUUCAUAAUUCGUAGCAGGAGGCAAAAGAUGCCACAUGCAACAGAUAGAUGGGGUAACAGAUGUACCAUCUUCACUGAAAUGAAAGUAAUAAGUUUAUAGGAUCUGCACAUGGAGUUGGCCUUUCUUGUUCCAUGAGUCUU